GACCCAAUGGUGCCACUGCUAGUGGCAACGACAUGGCACGUAGUAAUAGCUUUGUCCACGGCAAGAUCUUCCCUUGAUUAUGUCUAUUGCUGAACGAGGAACCUUACAAGUUAGAAUCUCCUAUGUCUUGAUUUUGAAAAACUAAAGAUUGUCAUCUUUAUAAAUUAUAUAUGAUCUACCCUUUUCUUUAUAUGUGUUAAAUAAAAUAAAUCCAAAGUCAUCUAUUGACUAUUGCCCUUUACCAGAAUGUUACUCGGAACUAAGACCACCACUUGCAAGUAGCUAAUAUUUAAAAUCUCCGUCUAGUUCCGAUUACUUCUCGUGUAAUCACUAACAUAUACACCAUAUUUAGUGUC
rnacentral:lncRNA from 1 species